UACGUAGGGCGCAAGCGUUUGUCCGGAAUUAUUGGGCGUAAAGAGCUCGUAGGCGGCUUGUCACGUCGGGUGUGAAAGCCCGGGGCUUAACCCCGGGUCUGCAUUCGAUACGGGCUAGCUAGAGUGUUGCAGGGGAGACUGGAAUUCCUGGUGUAGCGGUGAAAUGCGCAGAUAUCAGGAGGAACACCGGUGGCGAAGGCGGGUCUCUGGGCAACAACUGACGCUGAGGAGCGAAAGCGUGGGGAGCGAACAGG
rnacentral:rRNA from 1 species